rfam:Salmo salar isolate Sally breed double haploid chromosome ssa15, whole genome shotgun sequence.
UGCACUCACUAUUGUAAGUCGCUCUGGAUAAGAGCGUCUGCUAAAUGAAUAAAA